CACUUUCAGUCUACAAGCAACCUAUUCACUUUGAGCUUUCACUAUAGAAUAGCAUCGAAUUCAGAAAAGUAAUUACUUUCACGGCUUCUUACUUUGUUUAGGUUGUUCAACUAUCUCUGGACAUGUUCACUUUUACACGUAUUAUGGUUUGUCAAGGUUUUCAAUUGGUACCUAUUUUUCUAUUCAACAUUAACUACCUUCUCUCUUUAACACCCCUUCACACUUUCAAGUUCUCUUCACUCAAAAAUUCAGCUUUCCAUAAAGAACAACAACCAAUACACCAAACUCAUUACUAUCAAGAAAAGCUCUCUCACAACAAACAAAUACCGACAUGAAUGAUAGAUGAGAUUCCAAUUCUGCCAUUUCACAUCCAUGAG